rfam:Sulfolobus solfataricus P2, complete genome.
GCCGGGGUGCCCGAGUGGUCCAAGGGGCUGGCCUUGAGAGCCAGUAGGUGUCUAGCCUGCGCGGGUUCAAAUCCCGCCCCCGGCG